rnacentral:rRNA from 1 species
CGAUUGUAGUCAUAUGCUUGUCUCAAAGAUUAAGCCAUGCAUGUCUAAGUAUAAGCAAUUAUACUGCGAAACUGCGAAUUGCUCAUUAUAUAAGUUAUCGUUUAUUUGAUAGCACAUUACUACUUGGAUAACCGUGGUAAUUCCAGAGCUAAUACAUGCUAAAAAUCCCGACUUCGGAAGGGAUGUAUUUAUUAGAUUAAAAGCCAACGCCCUUCGGGGCUCUCUGGUGAUUCAUAAUAACUGGUCGAAUCGCAUGGCCUUGCGCCGGCGAUGGUUCAUUCAAAUUUCUUCCCUAUCAACUUUCGAUGCGAGGGUCUUGUCCUCGCAUGGUUGCAACGGGUAACGGAGGGUUAGGGCUCGACCCCGGAGAAGGAGCCUGAGAAACGGCUACUACAUCCAAGGAAGGCAGCAGGCGCGCAAAUUACCCAAUCCCGACACGGGGAGGUAGUGACAAUAAAUACUGAUACAGGGCUCUUUUGGGUCUUGUAAUCGGAAUGAGUACAAUUUAAAUCCCUUAACGAGGAACAAUUGGAGGGCAAGUCUGGUA